rnacentral:ncRNA from 1 species
UCAAAAGCGUUGAAGAGGAAAAGUACCGCUCCAUAUCCGCACAGAGAGCCUGGCGUCUGGUGUAAGCCGGGACGGAGACAGGGCGCGAAAGAACACCUCCGAGCUGCAGCCUGAAAUGCAAAAAGUAGGGUGUGCCGCAGGCCGUGCGUUACAGCGGCAGCGUUUCAAAGGUGAACGUGUACGGAAAAGUGACCGUAUGCCGUUAUUUCGGCUGCGGUAAUUUAGGUGGCACCGCGGAUCCAAGACAGCGAUUCGUCCUAAUG